UGCAGCCAUGUCAAAUUCAGUGCAUCCUCCCUGGUGGACUGCACUGGCCUAAAUGGCUGCCACAGUGACUAGGUAGUUCAUGGGCCCCACGUCCUGUGUAUGUGGACACAGGGGAUGAGAAGAGUCAUUACAGAGGGUU